UAUGCAAUCAUGUAGGGGACUUGUGGGGAAUGCUUUGGGUUGUCGUAUGCAAUCAUCCAAUUCAAUAACGCUAGGAAAAUCUGAAGAUUAAUUUAAGCGGACCUAAUUAACUUGGGGCGUUGAGAAUUCAUGGGUUAGUGAAAAGUGAUGUGAGAAUUUCUUGACACACAAAUUAAACCCUCUUUUUGACAAUUGUAGUAUAGAUGUAAGUAGGGUAUCGUUCUAGGCCGGGGAUUAGGAGGGAUUUCUAAUCUAUUCUAAAUUAAUUUAAAAAUAUUAAACAAGACUCAAGGACACAAAACUAGGCUAAAAACUCUAAUAACUCGAAACACACUUAGGAUGACUCAAAAUAAUGAAAAUAAUCAAAUUAGACACUAGGAACUGCAAUGGACGGAAAUUGAAUUAAAAGACUAACAACAAUGAAACUAACUAAAUAAUAUAAUUUAAUAAUGGGGGGGUUUGGUUUUGACGAGAAGUAAAUUAAACUUAAAUAAAUUAUAGAAUUGACAAAAACAUGAAAUUAAGGUGAAAGGAUAAAUGACGGACUAGCUAGAGG
rnacentral:lncRNA from 1 species